rnacentral:rRNA from 1 species
AUUGAACGCUGGCGGCAGGCCUAACACAUGCAAGUCGAGCGGAUGAAGGGAGCUUGCUCCUGGAUUCAGCGGCGGACGGGUGAGUAAUGCCUAGGAAUCUGCCUGGUAGUGGGGGAUAACGUCCGGAAACGGGCGCUAAUACCGCAUACGUCCUGAGGGAGAAAGUGGGGGAUCUUCGGACCUCACGCUAUCUGAUGAGCCUAGGUCGGAUUAGCUAGUUGGUGGGGUAAAGGCCUACCAAGGCGACGAUCCGUAACUGGUCUGAGAGGAUGAUCAGUCACACUGGAACUGAGACACGGUCCAGACUCCUACGGGAGGCAGCAGUGGGGAAUAUUGGACAAUGGGCGAAAGCCUGAUCCAGCCAUGCCGCGUGUGUGAAGAAGGUCUUCGGAUCGUAAAGCACUUUAAGUUGGGAGGAAGGGCAGUAAGUUAAUACCUUGCUGUUUUGACGUUACCAACAGAAUAAGCACCGGCUAACUUCGUG